GUGACUCUAUUUUAAAAGGUUGACAUUGCUCUAAGUAUUGAAGCAAUAAACAUUUCAGAUUCACCCUUUGUUUGGGUAAUUCUUUUUCUUUUCUUUGCCUCCUUCCAUGUUAUUUCAGAUGUGAGAACCUAGUUUAUUUAUCAUCAGCCAGUUCUUAACCCCUUGAGAAUUUUAUCUUUUAAAAUCCACAUUCACAUAUCUCUGUAGGACAUUUGAGGUAGUUUUAUUUGUUUAUUCUCGCUAGAAAUGGAUGUGUUUUCAUUAGGCAUAAACUGAAAGGAGACUAUGUACUUGUACCUGACGGGACUUGAGCUUAGAACUACAAGACCUUCAAAAUUGGACAGCCAAAGCCUUCAGAUGAGGUCUGAAGAUUAGUUGUGAUAGUUGCUGUAAAUUGAAUAUUUCCAUUUGUUAUGCCAUGCCAAUUGUUUUAUGUGUAGUUUUUCAUUGAUCCUCAAAGAAGUCUUAUAAGAUGGCUAUCUUAUCCAGUUUACAGAAGAGCAAGUAAGUGAUCAAGGAGGUUAGGUAAGCUGGCAGAGUUCUUGGAGAUAGUGUAUAGUAGACCUGUGACUUGGACUGAGGCCUGAGCUUUGACCACUUAAUUGAUGCCAUCAUUCAGAUCUGGAAUGUCUCCCAAAGGCCAUGUUUAAAGGCUGGGUGCUAUUGGGAGAUGGUUGGAAAUUUAAUAAGAGGUGUGGACUAGUGGGAGGUCUUCUGUUCAUUGGGGGUAUGCCAUUCAAGAGAAUAGUCGGACUCCACUUCUUCCUAUUCUUCUCUUGCUUCCUGGCUGCCAUGAUGUACUCUGCUGCCACAGGCCUAAAUGCAAUUAAUCAUGGACUGAAAACUCUGAAAUUGUGAAUCAAAAUAAACCUCCUCUCUUUACAAAUUUGUAGUCUCUUGUAUUUUGUUAUAGUAAUGAAAAACUGACUAACAUAUGUAGUGCCCACAUUUGCCAUUACAAGAUGAUGAUGGGUGAAAGACAGAUUUCAGACUUGAAAAACCAAUAAAAAAGAGACAUAAUAAAAGUAAAGACAGUAAACCUGCC
rnacentral:lncRNA from 1 species